AGUUUUGUUCACCACAGUGCAGGCGUUCGUUUCUCCAAUGGUCACGUUAACUUCUGAUGAAUGAUAAUCUCCAAAAUUAUCUCCUUCUAUCGUCAGGCGCGUCCCCCCUUCAAGUGGACCACUUGUCGGAAAGAUCUGUUUUAAGGAAAAGGAAUGGGGGACAGCUAUCAUCAUGCCACACAGAUUCACAUUCGUCCUUCCUCAUGCAAGAAUGUUUACACCAACUGCAUCCUAAUGGGUCACCUGUCGUCACGCAGGCAUAACAAGUUGUAUGAAGAUGGCAUGAAAACAAUGGAAAUUUUGAUGCCUACAAAUACAGCUCACGAGCAUCCCGACAAAAAUACCGGCCAUCCUGUUUUAAAAUCCACGCUGAGCGUGGAAGUGUCGGCGCCCUUGAUCUAUUGUUCUUGUUACGGCCUCAAAACAAGAAAAAACUCGGUGCAACAUGGCACAAAUCGAUCCGACACCGGCAGAUACAUGGUGUAACACGCAGUUUAUACCUGUGAAAACAAUUUUUUCUUCCCAUUUAAAAAUAAUUAAAUAAAUAUUCAAUUUAAUAAGUUUAUAUUAUAGUCAAUUCGUCACCGUAGUGUGGACCAAUUUAACUGGCCACUGCUAUACUGCUCCAUGGUUCUCAUUUCCAACACUUUUUUUUUUCAUAUUUUUAAAAUAUGCACAUGCCUAUCACAGAUUAACAACAAUUAUCUUUCUCCCAAGUGUUCUUCUAUCACUGUCCCAUAUAUAUUUAAAAAACAAUUAUUAAUGUCUUCAGAAUGUAUGUAUUUAUUUUUUACUGUAUGGCGGUCAAAAAACAUUGAGUUCAACAUUCAAACAGAUAUCCAUUAAACCAAAAUGUUUUAAGAG
rnacentral:sRNA from 1 species